GUAAAACCCAAUAUCAGCAUCAACCCUAGACUAAGUAAAACCCAGUAUCAGCAUCAACCCUAGACUAAGUAAAACCCAAUAUCAGCAUCAACCCUAGACUAAGUAAAACCCAAUAUCAGCAUCAACCCUAGACUAAGUAAAACCCAGUAUCAGCAUCAACCCUAGACUAAGUAAAACCCAAUAUCAGCAUCAACCCUAGACUAAGUAAAACCCAAUAUCAGCAUCAACCCUAGACUAAGUAAAACCCAAUAUCAGCAUCAACCCUAGACUAAGUAAAACCCAGUAUCAGCAUCAACCCUAGACUAAGUAAAACCCAGUAUCAGCAUCAACCCUAGACUAAGUAAAACCCAGUAUCAGCAUCAACCCUAGACUAAGUAAAACCCAAUAUCAGCAUCAACCCUAGACUAAGUAAAACCCAAUAUCAGCAUCAACCCUAGACUAAGUAAAACCCAAUAUCAGCAUCAACC